rnacentral:rRNA from 1 species
UACAGAGGUCUCAAGCGUUGUUCGGAAUCACUGGGCGUAAAGGGCGCGUAGGCGGCGUUUUAAGUCGGGGGUGAAAGCCUGUGGCUCAGCCACAGAAUGGCCUUCGAUACUGGGACGCUUGAGUAUGGUAGAGGUUGGUGGAACUGCGAGUGUAGAGGUGAAAUUCGUAGAUAUUCGCAAGAACACCGGUGGCGAAGGCGGCCAACUGGACCAUUACUGACGCUGAGGCGCGAAAGCGUGGGGAGCAAACAGG